AGUGAACGCUGGCGGUAGGCCUAACACAUGCAAGUCGAACGGCAGCACAGUAAGAGCUUGCUCUUACGGGUGGCGAGUGGCGGACGGGUGAGGAAUACAUCGGAAUCUACUUUUUCGUGGGGGAUAACGUAGGGAAACUUACGCUAAUACCGCAUACGACCUACGGGUGAAAGCAGGGGAUCUUCGGACCUUGCGCGAUUGAAUGAGCCGAUGUCGGAUUAGCUAGUUGGCGGGGUAAAGGCCCACCAAGGCGACGAUCCGUAGCUGGUCUGAGAGGAUGAUCAGCAACACUGGAACUGAGACACGGUCCAGACUCCUACGGGAGGCAGCAGUGGGGAAUAUUGGACAAUGGGCGCAAGCCUGAUCCAACCAUACCGCGUGGGUGAAGAAGGCCUUAGGGUUGUAAAGCCAUUUUGUUGGGAAAGAAAAGCAGCAGGUUAAUACCCCGCUGUUCUGACGGUACCCAAAGAAUAAGCACCGGCUAACUUCGUG
rnacentral:rRNA from 1 species